rnacentral:sRNA from 1 species
AGGCUGGUCAUUGAUUGGUUCAACGUGCAAUAAAGUUUACAGCAGAAGAUUAACUUGGGAUGGAGCAUACAAUGCAUGCAAACUCCAAGGAUCUGACUUAGUUCAAAUAAAAGAUGCUCAUAUCAAUAAUGACAUAGGAUUACUAGCAAAAUCUAAUUUAUUAUCAAAUUAUUGGAUUGGUCUUAGAAGUAAAAUAAAGUCUAAUUUAACUGCUGCUGCUGAAUGGUCUGAUGGCACCCCAUGGUCUUUGUAUCAAGGGUUUUGGUCUAGCGACCAGCCUGACUCCAGUGAUGGUAGUUGUGUGUCUGCUUCUGAUAAUGCUGGACAUUAUCGAUGGUCUCUCGUUGGCUGUGAGAAUAAGAACCCUUUUAUCUGUCAAUAUACAGCUUGUGAUAGCGAAAGCUUCAGAUGUUCAAAUGACAUCUGCCUUUCAUCAAAAUAUAGAUGUGAUGGCAAAGAAGAUUGUCAAGAUGGAUUAGAUGAAAUAA